GAGUGUUCGUCCAAAAAGGAGUGCAAGCGGGGCCACCGCGAGGAAACUCGAGGAUUGGUUUUCCCCAUAGCUAGUUCCAUCCGCCGUGUCCUAAGAACGAGAUACGCGGCUCUUAUCGGGUUCGUCAACACGUCGGGUGGUCUUGCUGCACAUGUCUUACCUUAAUGAUAUAUCUUGUGCAUUGGGAUUCCGGUGAUACUUUGCGUCUUCUCAGAGUUCAGGUUUUCCACUAAGGAAUCCGACGAGAUCGGGAGUUUCGUGAUCGAGGAUUUCUAUGCGGCCUGUGGUUAUUUGUGAUGGAUUAGUUGGAGAACCCAUGUAGGGUUAAAUCUUUCGAAAAGCCGUGCCCACGGUUAUGUGGCAAAUAUAGAAACUUUGUUAACAUCCAGUUCUAGAUAACUUGAAGUAAAUUAAUUAAACCCUUCCAACUCUGUGCGUAACCGUGACUGUCUCCUUCAGAGUUCCUUCUCUGAUCGAGAACAUGGUGGGGUUAUGUCUGACGUAGGUAGGUGUUUAGGAUCACCUAGUGAUUAUUCUUAGUUAAAUAACGUCAUGCGUAGACCAUCAUAUCUUUAUUUCUUGUUCAACGUAAGCUAGCCACCAUAAACGCUUAGGUUGUUGCAAACUCAAAC
rnacentral:lncRNA from 1 species